AGUUGGAUGUGAAAGCCCCGGGCUUAACUCGGGGAGUUCGUUCAAUACUGCGGGGCUAGAGGGCAGCAGAGGGAGGUGGAAUUCCCGGUGUAGUGGUGAAAUGCGUAGAUAUCGGGAGGAACACCCGUGGCGAAGGCGGCCUCCUGGGCUGACCCUGACGCUGAAUGCGAAAGCUAGGGGAGCGAACGGGAUUAGAUACCCCGGUAGUCCUAGCUGUAAACGAUGGAUGCUGGGUGUGGGAGGUAUAAAUUCCCUCUGUGCCGAAGCUAACGCGUUAAGCAUCCCGCCUGGGGACUACGGCCGCAAGGCUAAAACUCAAACGAAUUGACGGGGGCCCGCACAAGCAGCGGAGCGUGUGGUUUAAUUCGAUGCUACACGAAGAACCUUACCUGGGCUUGACAUGCACGUGGUAGGGAACCGAAAGGGGACCGACCUUCGGGAGCGUGCACAGGUGCUGCAUGGCUGUCGUCAGCUCGUGCCGUGAGGUGUCGGGUUAAGUCUCGUAACGAGCGCAACCCUUGCCCUUAGUUAUACGUGUCUAAGGGGACUGCCCGGGAUAACCGGGAGGAAGGUGGGGAUGACGUCAAGUCAGCAUGGCCUUUAUGUCCAGGGCUACACACACGCUACAAUGGCCGGUACAAUGGGUCGCGAAGCCGUGAGGCGGAGCCAAUCCUGAAAGCCGGUCUCAGUUCGGAUUGUAGGCUGCAACUCGCCUACAUGAAGUUGGAGUUGCUAGUAACCGCAGGUCAGCUAUACUGCGGUGAAUACGUUCCCGGGCCUUGUACACACCGCCCGUCACGUCAUGGGAGCUGGCAACACCUGAAGCCGGUGAGCUAACCCGAAAGGGGGCAGCCGUAUAAGGUGGGGCUGG
rnacentral:rRNA from 1 species